GUAAAGAAGAGAGAGAAAGAAAAAGAAAGGAAAAGAGGAAGAAGGAAGAAGAAGGAAGAAGAAGAAGGGGAAGUUGAACGUAUAGCUUCACCGGAGCUGGGUCUUAGUAUUUUGAGCUCGGAUUUAUGAUCAGCUCACCGAGGUCUUCGAUUUGAGGGAGUCGGAUUGCAUUUUAAAUUCAGAUACCAACGGUGGGCCUUCUCUGAAAACCCUACAGGAGUAUCGCGGGAUGGGAUUCAUGGCUCGUUCCCGAGGCAUACGUGCACUAUGAUUGUGAUUUUACAGGUUAUCUGCCUGGCUAUCAGAAGUCGGGCCGCAUUGUGGAGUUUCCAUCUGAGGACUGGUGGGUCCCUGUCGAGUUUGAGCAUGGUGCUGAUUACACAUGCGAGGAUUAUGCUGCAUGGCAGCUGUGACUCCUGAGUGAUUCUUUUUUAUUCUUUUUGAUGUACUCCCUUUUGUUACUUGAUACUUAAAUUGUUGUAUUUUUAUAUAUAUAUCAUGCCU